ACUAACGUCUUCGUCGUAAACGGUCGACGUGCUUUUCGAUCUUGAAACCAGAGUCCACGGAUCCGGUGGUACGAUCAUUGCGUCGUCCUGUACGUUAAUUCCGCGAUUAAUUACGAUUAGUUAAGCUUGAACAGAAAGUGUAGAAAAGGACACCUUUAAUAAUGACGCACAUUAGAGACGGACGAGUAGUUGCAUGCGAAUCGUGCUGAAUUGGUACCUUAUCGUCACGUGACAUUACUUUGCGUGAAACUCAGUAUCGUUAUUUUAUUAUGGACCAUGCAAUAUUGACAGGAAUUUUUGAAAAUGCGACGAUCGUGCAGGAUUAUCAUUCUAGGAAUAUUUGAAGUACCCUAGAUAUGCUCUCUUCAGUUCUAAGAACUGUCAUAUACCCAUGACAAUAUACCGGAAGUAGAGAAGUGAAAAAUAAAAACACAAAAAUAUGACAAUAAAACAUGCAAUAAAAAGCGAACUACCAAAGCU